ensembl:lncRNA
AAACGAGUUCACAAGAACACACUAGGGAAAAAACGCGGAUUUCAUAAACCGCCCAUAUGCCCGAGACCGACGUAUGACAAAGCUCUGAUUGGCUGGUUAUUUAGAACCUUAUGUUACUUCACUUCAGUCAAAUAUUUUUGCCUGACAGAAUAUUCAGGUUUUGUUUUCCCCGAUCCAAAAUUAUAUUUCGAUAGGCUUAACGUUACUUCCGAAAUACAUUAUGAAAAUAACAAAUGAAAAAACGUUGUCAUUUGUCCAACCAAAUUAAAGUAGUUGAGCAGCAGACAAAACUGACAGAUUUCGAAAGCAACCGGAUCUUCCAUGACAACAAUGAUUGGCCAGACCUGUGGACAGUAAAUCUGUGAGCAAAAAGGUCUGUCUACAAAAGAAGGUGGAAGUAGAAGGAGGAGGGAGAGACAGCUGUAAGGCAAAAGGAGUGAGAGCAGAAGAAAGAGGAGGGAGAUGGAGAGUCAAGGACUGGUUAAGGAUUGAACCUGAAACUACUCGGUCUGCCAUGUUACAGCUACAUCAGUCUGACUCCACCUCCUGCUGAUGUGAAGAACACACACACACAUCAACACAAUUCACACACACACACACACCAGCAUUCCCCAUCUGGUCCCUGAGGAAGACUGAGUUACCACGCUUGAUAAGAACACUUUUGAGGUCCCACUGCUCCAUCUCAAUUGGAACUGGCAGAAUCAACCACUAAUCGGAUUAGUUAAAAUUGUUGGCAUUUUCUUUCUCUCAUUACUUUUGUUUGUCUUCCCUCCUUUUCUUUCCUCAACCAUGAUAUCACGUGUCUCUUUUUCUUGUUAUCACAGGCAGAUAUAUUUUCUCUCUUAAGUUUUUCUAACUGGAGAAUGAGAGGAAAACAGCAAGACAGCAUUUUUAAAUCUCUUUGCCCUUUGGAUGGUGUUUUGAAGCAGUAGACAGAGAACUCACACUUCAUCUAUCAUCUAGGUUUUUCUUUUUCUCAUCAAAUGUAACAAAGUGAUUGAAGAGGUUCAACAAGAUUCUAGGCCCCCACAUCAAUUAUGUGAAAACAAAUGAAAUACCAAACAAAAUUCCUAAUUUUAUAUUAAUUAUGCAACAGUGCCAAGCACAUAUUAGUAAUACUAUCAAAUAUAUUAUAUGAUACUGUAUGUUCUGUGUCACAUUCUUGAGUAAUGGAGCACUCUUGUUCCACACAAAAUUGAAAAUAUUUACAGCAGACUAAGACCUGGGUCCAAAGAGCAUGUGUAAAUCUCAUUAGCUAUAUAUCCAAGUGUUCGAGAACGGCAAUUACUAAAUUAUGAAUGUGAAAUUAAUAAGAAAAAGGGCUGAGUGUCUGAAAGAGAGAUUCAUCUUGUCCUAGUUAUGCCAAAGGCAAGAGGUAUAUUUCAUGAACCCCCAUUUCUCACUUAGCUUUAUAGGCACACACACACGCACACACACAUACACACAUAAAUAAAAAAUAGAAUGCUUAGCCAAGAGCCAACAUUUACUCUGUAACUGUAUGGAGCAUGACAAAAACACAAAUAAAAUAAUCUAAAAUUAUUGAUUUACAGUAUGUAUACAGAUGAAUGAUCAUGGAACUGUGUAAGUGUGUUUGUGAUUGUUUGUGUGUGUGUGUCUGGGUGUAUUUGCAAACUUGAGUAGCUAUGUGUGAAGGCUAGCUA